UACAGAGGUCUCAAGCGUUGUUCGGAUUCAUUGGGCGUAAAGGGUGCGUAGGCUGCGAGGUAAGUCUGGUGUGAAAUCCCGGGGCUCAACCCCGGAACUGCACUGGAUACUGCUUUGCUAGAGUACUGGAGAGGGAACUGGAAUUUACGGUGUAGCAGUGAAAUGCGUAGAUAUCGUAAGGAAGACCAGCGGCGAAGGCGAGUUCCUGGACAGUUACUGACGCUGAGGCACGAAGGCCAGGGGAGCAAACGGG
rnacentral:rRNA from 2 species